rnacentral:lncRNA from 1 species
UCUCUGUAUAUUUGAUUUUUUUUUUAUUUUUGUAUUUGCAUUUUUUAAAUGUUAGCUAAUAUCAAUCCUGUAUUGAAAUUUACACCAAUAAAAGUAUUUGAUUUGAUUUGAUUUGAUUUGUAGUUUUGUGACUUUAAUUUUUUUAAUCACAAAGUAUCUUACAGUGAAUCUUCAGGAUUAGCCGAGCGAGCUAAUCUCAGAUAUAUUUUACAAUAAACGUUAAAGGCAAUGUCUGCAAAGUGAGUUCAUCGGGAUGAGGGUUGUGGAAUUUCGAAGUUAUUGAAAUGGUGCAUUCACAUCUCCCAACUCAAUCGGUAUUCAAGAUCAACCAUCUGCUGCUCAGAAUUUAGAAAACUUCACCAGCAAAAACUUGAUGAACUAGGGUAAUGUCAAAGAACUAGUCGUCCUUUUUCUAAAAACAUCGUCGGAAAAUACCAAGACCUUGUUGAAAAAUAUUUUUUAUCAACUUCACAAAUAAUACAUAUGAUGUUCUUUAAGUAUAGAUUCUAGGUACUGACGUUGUUAAUCGUCUCAAUUACAUAUUAUAGUAUUCUUUUUAUUGACUUUGUACAUUAUUAUCCUUUACUGUGUUGUCCACCUUUAAUAAUAUACUUUUGGCGUGAUGGCUCAGUAUUAAUACAUCCGGACAUUGUGAUAUUGUGCUAAGAUCAUUUUUGCGUCUUUUUCUUUCAUUUUUACUUAUAAACUUUGCCUAUAGGAUGUCUUUAUACCUUUUUGUUUUUCUUUGUUGAAAAAGGUUAUUUGCAUUUAUAGUAAUUAAGAUUAUAUCACAAGGUUGACUGCUGAUCUCAAAUUUU